rnacentral:rRNA from 1 species
CACUGUCACUCCUACGGGAGGCAGCAGUGGGGAAUAUUGCACAAUGGGCGCAAGCCUGAUGCAGCCAUGCCGCGUGUGUGAAGAAGGCCUUCGGGUUGUAAAGCACUUUCAGUCGUGAGGAAGGUAGUGUAGUUAAUAGCUGCAUUAUUUGACGUUAGCGACAGAAGAAGCACCGGCUAACUCCGUGCCAGCAGCCGCGGUAAUACGGAGGGUGCGAGCGUUAAUCGGAAUUACUGGGCGUAAAGCGCAUGCAGGUGGUUUGUUAAGUCAGAUGUGAAAGCCCCGGGGCUCAACCUCGGAAUAGCAUUUGAAACUGGCAGACUAGAGUACUGUAGAGGGGGUAGAAUUUCAGGUGUAGCGGUGAAAUGCGUAGAGAUCUGAAGGAAUACCGGUGGCGAAGGCGGCCCCCUGGACAGAUACUGACACUCAGAUGCGAAAGCGUGGGGAGCAAACAGGAUUAGAUACCCUGGUAG